UUUGUACUCCCUCCGUCCCAAAAUUCUUGUCUUAAAUUUGUCUAAAUACCGAUGUACCUAGUCACAUUUUAGUGUUAGAUACAUCCGUAUCUAAACAAAUGUAAGACAAGAAUUUUGGGACGGAGGGAAUACUAC
rnacentral:pre_miRNA from 1 species